ACAGAGGAUAGCAGGAGCUCCGGCCGUUCUGAGAUUAUACUGUCACAACUUGAUCUAGAUAAUACUAGCGAAAGGACAUGCGCUGCAUUGAUU
rnacentral:ncRNA from 1 species